UACGGAGGGAGCUAGCGUUGUUCGGAAUUACUGGGCGUAAAGCGCACGUAGGCGGCUUUUUAAGUCAGGGGUGAAAUCCCGGAGCUCAACUCCGGAACUGCCCUUGAAACUGGGAAGCUAGAAUCUUGGAGAGGCGAGUGGAAUUCCGAGUGUAGAGGUGAAAUUCGUAGAUAUUCGGAAGAACACCAGUGGCGAAGGCGACUCGCUGGACAAGUAUUGACGCUGAGGUGCGAAAGCGUGGGGAGCAAACAGG
rnacentral:rRNA from 1 species